rnacentral:rRNA from 1 species
GACGAGCCACACGAACGUUAUUCGGAAUUACUGGGCUUAAAGGGUGCGUAGGCGGUGCGGAAAGUUGGGUGUGAAAUCCCUCGGCUCAACCGAGGAACUGCGCCCAAAACUACCGUACUUGAGGAAGAUAGAGGUGAGCGGAACUCACGGUGGAGCGGUGAAAUGCGUUGAUAUCGUGAGGAACACCCGUGGCGAAAGCGGCUCACUGGGUCUUUUCUGACGCUGAUGCACGAAAGCUAGAGGAGCAAACAGG